rnacentral:rRNA from 1 species
CCUACGGGAGGCAGCCGUGAGGAAUCUUGGUCAAUGGGCGCAAGCCUGAACCAGCCACGUAGCGUGAAGGAUGACUGCCCUACGGGUUGUAAACUUCUUUUAUAGAGGAGUAACAUGAGGCACGUGUGCCUUUUUGUCUGUACUUUAUGUAUUAGGAUCGGCUAACUCCGUGCCAGCCGCCGCGGUAAUACGGAGGAUCCGAGCGUUAUCCGGAUUGAUUGGGUUUAAAGUGAGCGUAGAUGGGUUGUUAAGUCAGUUGUGAAAGUUUGCGGCUCAACCGUACAAUUGCAAUUGAUACUGGAAGUCGUGAGUACAGUUGAGGUAGGAGGAAUUCGUGGUGUAGCGGUGAAAUGCUUAGAUAUAACGAAGAACUCCGAUUGCGAAGGCAGCUUACUAAACUGCCACUGACAUUGAUGCGCGAAAGCGUGGGUAUCAAACAGGAUUAGAUACCCGGGUAGUC